UACCAGCACCCCGAGUGGUCGGGACGAUUAUUGGGCCUAAAGCAUCCGUAGCCGGUCCUGCAAGUCUUCCGUUAAAUCCAGCUGCUCAACAGAUGGGCUGCGGGGGAUACUACAUGGCUAGGAGGCGGGAGAGGCAAGCGGUACUUUAUGGGUAGGGGUAAAAUCCGUUGAUCCAUAGAAGACCACCAGUGGCGAAGGCGGCUUGCCAGAACGCGCUCGACGGUGAGGGAUGAAAGCUGGGGGGAGCGAACGGGGAUUAAGAAACC
rnacentral:rRNA from 1 species